GCGCCUCCGCCCCGGGCAGCGCGCAUUCCCCUCUUCCAGAGGGGCCUCUUUAACGGCUCCCCAUGAAAUAAUCAUUCAUUAUGUCACCAGGAGGGAAGAAAGGGAGUAUUUUGUGAAGCUGUCCCAUUCAAAGCCACCCCCAGAGGCCCGGAGGAGACCACAAAGCUGCGAACACAGCCGGGACCUGCCCACUGACACACUGAAGAGUCAACACGAUUCAGGAAAACACUUUCAAAGAGUGUUUUUUCUUGGACAGAUAACAUUCUGUUUUGUUUCUGAGAGGAAAAAAAAAAAUGGACCCUCCGCCUCACAUUUUUGAAAACACCAGCAGCAGGCUACAUACCCAUAACAGACAGAGUUCAGGAGGCAGUUCCUGGAAGAUUCAUUAGUAGAAGCCAGAGGAAGAUAAAUCCAAGAGCCACUUCAAAUUUUCUCCAGAAUUUAGUGGGACAGAAAU